CCUAAAGCGUCCGUAGCUGGCCACGCAAGUCCGUCGGGAAAUCCAUCGGCUCAACCGAUGGGCGUCCGGCGGAAACUGCGUGGCUUGGGACCGGAAGGCUCGAGGGGUACGUCCGGGGUAGGAGUGAAAUCCCGUAAUCCUGGACGGACCACCGAUGGCGAAAGCACCUCGAGAAGACGGAUCCGACAGUGAGGGACGAAAGCUGGGGUCUCGAACCGGAUUAGAUACCCGGGUAGUCCCAGCCGUAAACGAUGCCAGUUAGGUGUGGCACAGGCUACGAGCCUGUGCUGUGCCGUAGGGAAGCCGUGAAACUGGCCGCCUGGGAAGUACGUCCGCAAGGAUGAAACUUAAAGGAAUUGGCGGGGGAGCACUACAACCGGAGGAGCCUGCGGUUUAAUUGGACUCAACGCCGGACAUUUCACCAGCUCCGACUACAGUGAUGACGGUCAGGUUGAUGACCUCGCCACGACGCUGUAGAGAGGAGGUGCAUGGCCGCCGUCAGCUCGUACCGUGAGGCGUCCUGUUAAGUCAGGCAACGAGCGAGACCCGCACACUUAAUUGCCAGCAUCAGGUUUCCUGGAUGGGUACAUUAAGUGGACUGCCGCUGCUAAAGCGGAGGAAGGAACGGGCAACGGUAGGUCAGUAUGCCCCGAAUGAGCUGGGCUACACGCGGGCUACAAUGGCCAAGACAAUGGGUUCCAACCUCGAAAGAGGACGGUAAUCUCCGAAACUUGGUCGUAGUUCGGAUUGUGGGCCGAAACUCGCCCACAUGAGGCUGGAUUCGG
rnacentral:rRNA from 1 species